GUUUUUUUUAAUCCCAUUCAUCUCGGUUAUCUACAGGUUCUCAUAAAAAGCAGCUGUGAGCGAAGAGGUUUUGGAAGAGUUCGAUAAGGUGAUUUUGUGAGCCUGAGCCAGCAAGCCAGUGAGAAUCAAACAUUAACGGCACGGGUUUCCUGAACUCAAGAACAAUAGCUGUAAUCUACAUGUCUGGGAUCCAGCAGUUUAAGAGACAAGUUUCCUUCUUCAGUAAUGCCUUCCGAGGACAU
rnacentral:lncRNA from 1 species